AAUUGUCCAGAUGGAAGAACAAGCUUAAUUGAAGUCAAUAGCCAACAUCAUCUUGACAGAAAUACGACCAAAAUUUCCACAGAGUAAACUGCAUUGAGAUCCGCAUCUUUCCAGUACCGAGGACCCAGACAUGGACACAGUACUCCACAAGAGCUGAGGAGAGGGGCAGAAUCACUUCCCUGGACCUGCUUUUGAUGAUGCCCCAGAUGCAGUUGGAUUUCUGGGCUGAACAAGAAAGAAUCCUGCAAUCAACAGCUUUCUUCAUCCCAAAUGCUGACUUUUUAACACAGCAGAAGAUCUAUUCUACACAUCCAAUGAAGGAAAAGAAAAAGCAAAGGGAAAACUAGUGUGCAAUCAUAGAAAAGAUCGUGUAAAGGAAACCUCUAUUCUGUUAUAUAUUUUAACAGAGCAUAAUAGCUUGACAAAUUUGGCCACGAUGAUGGCUGAUAUCUCUACUCUAACGUGCUUUGCAUGGGUAAAAAACAUUUCUUUGUAUACUUAAAAAGUAAGCUGAAAAAAAGAUGUGAUCAAAUUUAUAGCCAUUUUUAGGUGCUGAUCUUAAAUAUGAGUCACCUUUCACAGGUUUCUGUAGUCUCCCUUAUUUAGUCAGACUGGAGAAGCUGGAUUCUAACUUGAGUUCCUUGGUUUAAGUCCCUGAAGAGGGAUAAAAAAAAAAGAAUAGAGAAAAAUAUUUUGGUCCUGUAUAUUGAUAAUCCAUUGUCAUAAAGCCAUUAUAAUGAAAAUGUUUUUUAUUGUUAAUUUAUGCUAUUAUUUCUCCUGUACAUUGAGCAAAAUU